GUCUGUGGCCAUGCUACCCUGAAAGUGCCCGAUCUUGUCUGAUUUCGGAAGCUAAGCAGGAUCGGUCCUGGUUAGUACUUGGAUGGGAGACCAUCUAGGAAGACCAGGUGCUGUAGGUG
rnacentral:rRNA from 1 species